GCUGGGUGUGGUGGUGCACACCUGUAAUCCCAGCGGCUGUGGAGGCUGAGGCAGGAGGAUCGAAGGUUCAAAGCCAGCCUCAGCAACUUAGUGAGGCCCUGAGGAAUUCAGUGAGACCCUGUUUCUA
rnacentral:sRNA from 1 species